AUAACAUAAAUUAAUGUGCUUUCCUUACGCGAAAGAAAUAUGUCGUUUCAUUUCCUCCU
rnacentral:tRNA from 1 species